CAGUACGUGCUGGGGCGCUGCUUGGGCUGGGAAACUCAGCAGAUAGUUAUAAAAGAUUACGGGCUUUCCAGCCAUGUGAGAGAGUGCAGGUGCUGGCUAGGGAGUGGGUAUGGGGAAGGAGCAAACGUUGGACCCAAAAUCAUGAUGUCGGGUUCUUCUCCUCCAUCUGUUUUUAUUUUAUGCAGUUAUCACUCAGCCUGAAGAAGGUUGGGGAUGAGAGGUGGUGGGAGGGAGAGGAACAGUAACUCCUUAGGACCCUGAGUUGUCAAGGUGAAAUCUGUGGUAUUGGAGAUAAAACAUAGAACCAUUCUAAGAGUCUUUCACCUUAAACCUGAGCAUUUUCCUAGUGGUGUGUUGUUUCCUGCAAGGGCUUGCUUGUGGAAUGGUUGCCAAAAGGUUUUUGAAUUCAGUUAAUAGGUUAUGUACAAGAAGAAAUGAAUAUUUCUUAUGAAAAACCAAUAACAUUAGAAAAGAAAUACGAUGUUCCUAAACAGGCUUGAUGCUGGUUUGCCCAAAUGCCUAUAAAUAUGCCUGACUUUUCCAUGAGGAUUUUUUCCAUUGUGUUGGGGGUCAGAAUUUGUGAAAUUUCUUUACAUUUAAAAUGCAUCAGCUGAUUCCUUUUUUACUCACUCAAAACACACCAACACUAUCACUGAACUCCCUUAUACAUAUUCCAAAUAAUACGUGGUUUUCCAUUGCAAGAGACAUCUUUCCUGGUUGGUUGAAUGUACCUUUUUAAAAUGUACAGAUGUGCUUGGACACUCUUUUGGUUUCUAAAUCAUAACAUCUGCUGCACUUGCUGAGGCAGUGCUAAACCUGGGCUUUUAAACCUUUUGGAAGAAGUUCAAUUUUCUGGAUGUUGGAUCUGAAACCACUUCGAACUUGAGAGAGAGAAAAAAAUGAUUUCUUAAAGAAUAAAAACCAAAAUAAACUCCACAAUCCUUUUAUGUUACCUUUGGUUGAGUUGGAGCUAAAAUGGUUGAUUUUAUAAACUGUGGGUUUUUUUUUAAUUGAAAAUAUCUGAGGGUUUUUGCUUUAUUUAAAAGGUGCUCUGGAGUCUGCAGCCAACUCCAAGCAGUAAUGGAGGAGGCUGCCAGUUUUAGCAGUGACAAGAAGAGUAAAUUUUCAAUAUUGUAUUUGGGCAUUUACCUGUUGGAUUCCAUUUUAUCCUAAUCCUUUUCUCAUAGUGCUGAAAAUUGACUCCUGAAACUUGACUUCGAAUGCAAGCCAUGUUCUUUUAGGUACAAAUGGAAAUAAAAAGUUUGGAAACAUGGGAGGCCACUGCUUUAUUGUUGGAUGUUGGAUCUGAAACCACUUCGAACUUAAGAGGUGGAGGCUCAGAGAAGCCAAUUCACCUGUUGCAUUGAGGCUUCCUGGCUGGUGCCUUUCCAAGGUUGAACCUUCACUAACUGUUGCCAAGAGCUGUGGAGAUGCUGCCCCCACCCCCACCCUAUUGCUAUAGACACUCUUGGCUACCCAAUUCUGUAUAAGAGAUGCAAGUCAUUCAAAAAGAAAGUUUGGCUAUGUUACUAUCAUGAGAUUGGUCAUUGGCCAUGAAGCUUGUCUUUGGAGGGGGGAUAAUAGAGUCAUGGGAAGGUAAAGUUAAUGAUUUUUCCAUUUCUUGAUUACUUUUUGAUGAGCUUGAGAAGUAAAUUAUAAGGAAACUUUGUAUCUUAAACUAAAAAGAAAAUAUUAGGGGAAAGUUGAUCACUUAAAAAAACAAUUUCUCUUUACCAAAGGGCUCCUUUAUCUAAAGAACUCCUCUAGUUUAAUCAUCAUUUGACUUGACUUCUAAGAAAAGUUUUUAGUUGCAGCUUUUAAACAGUGCCUUGCAUGGUAAGUAAGGUGUAUCUCCUGGUAAAGAUGACAGUACAUCGUAGCUUAUUGAUUACCUGGUACAGAUAAACUUAGUGGGGCAGGUAAUUGUUUCUUAAAAUUUAACAAUUUAAUUUAGUUAAAACUGAUGUAAUAGAAUGAUACUGUAGUUGAAAUCUUAUGUCUACUUCAAGUUUUCUCAUUCUUGAGUGACCAAUCUUAUGCCGACAGUUGAUAUCCUCAGAGUAUAUUUGCAGUGCAUUUGCAUUACAUUUUAAUUUCAGUAAUUAAUUGGAAAAUGAAGUGGCACAAUGAGAUGUCUAUGGAUCAUCAGCCUAUAAACAUGGGCAUUGGUAACUUGUAUUUAUCCUGCUGUUACAAAUUAAUUUUUGAUAUGGAUGGUAAGACCUGCUUUUCUGUAUUUUUAAAUCCUCACACCGUUUAUUCAAGUCAUUGGUGUGUAAAUAGACAGGAAGCAAUAUCAAGGUUAAUUCAGAAUUGCAGAUUUGCUGACUCAUUUCCAGAGUCAUUCUGCUUGGGGUUGGUGUGAAAUAUGAGUGUUUAGGAUGAGCACUUGCAUGUUUUUACAUGAACAAAAAGCAGGUAAAAACUAAUGGGAAGUGUGUGUACAUUAUGGCAAACUGAAACAGAAAUGAAAUAUACAUUGGCAGGAAAUUGUCCUACCUGUAAAGAUAUGCAUUCCCUCACAAAACACAUACAUAUACACACUGAGAGAACAUUAGUGAAAAAGAUGGCUAUUUUAGUUGACAAUGCCUUGAGCAUUUGUUAAUCUACUUGUGCUUAUAAUUACAAACUCAGUGGAUGAAAUAGUUGAACAUGUUAAAGAGUUUUUUUGGGUGAAUGCAAAGAUAAAUUUUAGCUGUUUUUCCUCUCUUAAAAACAUCUUAAGUCUGUAGAAUAAUUUCUUAAUUAGUAGGUGUAUAGAAAACAACAAAAGCAAAAACAAAUGAAACUUUUAAACAAACCUCCAAACUACACAAAAUUCUCAAGAAUGCAUUUAAUUCUGUAGAAGUUAUUGUUCAAUGGUUUCUUUCUAGUUUGUGUAGAGUUCCAUUUUCAAAUAGGAAGUAGAUUCAACACUUAUCACAUCUAGACAUUACUGCAUUUGUCCAUUCAAGUUGCUUAUUUCAGAUUUGUAAAUUAAGUAAUUAAAUAACCACUGCUAUCUAUAAAUGUUUUUAAACUGACAGCCUCAAGUAUUGAGAAUGGAGGUUUCAACCCUUACUUGAUUCCAUUGACAUUCAAGGGUGAAUGGAAUUUUCUUAGGUGAAAGUGUUUGCUUCCACAAUGUAAGGAAGGAGUUUUGCUUCCAGAUCCUAGCUGGCAGGCCUUUGCUUUAACAGGUAACUAUUUAGCUCAGGUCAUGGAUGUCUUGGAUGAUUUAGGUUCUUCUAGCAAUAGCUCUGUUUGUUAUUGCCCUUCAAGACGAAGAAGAUUCUGAUGAUCAGAGAUCCUUACAAGAAGUUCCCCCACCAGAUACAGUGAAUGCAGAAGAAAAAAUGGUGAAAAUAAUUUGAUUUUAAUUCUAGAAGCACAUAUUGCUGGCUACUGCCAAAUAAGAAGGAACAAUAGACAACAAAACGAUACUCUUCAUUACCUUUUUUCUUCUUCUUAAAAAAAAAAAAGGAAUUGUUUAGUCAUCCUGGUGGGUCUGAUUCCCUUUGCCUUGUUAGAGCAAGUUUCAGUGAACGGUAGCAUUGUGCCCUCCUUAAACAUCACUCUAGCCAAUGAGAGCAAGCAUGAGGAAAUCAUUCACUUGCAUUGAACAGGGUCCAUUUAGACCUACUUUGGUCUUGCUGAAUAGAGUGUCAGGGUUGUAAGUCUUCCUCCUGAAAGCUUCCUAUUGAUUCUUUUCUUGUUUUGUGAGGGUAUCUCUCAAGAUUGAAAGAGUAGGCUGUUUCUCUCAACAACUCUUCUUCUAGUUCAGGGUUUCUUUACAGCUACACUAUUAUUAUUUUGGACCAGAUAAUUCUUUGUUGUGAGGUGCUGCCUUAUGCAUUUUAGUAGGAGUGUUGGCAGCAUCCCUGGGCUUUACCUCUGAGCAUCCCCCCUAGUUGUGAUAAUAAAAAAUGUCUCCAGACACUGUCAGUGUUUCAGGGUGGAGGGUAGUCAGAAUGCCUCUGGUUCAAAACCAUUGCUUUAGAGCAGUGGUUUUCAGUCUGGUCGCAGAUUAAAAUCACUGUGAGAGCUUUGAAAAAAUGCAGGUGACUGAGCCCUGCACUGCACUCAGAGAUGCAAAUUGAGUUGGUCUGGUGCUGGGCUUGGGCACUUUGCAAAAAGAGCUCCUCAGGUGAUUCUAAUGAGCGGACCAGUUGAAAAUCAUUGCCCUCAAUGAGAGAUUUUUGCUUAAGAUGAUUUCCUGAGAGGAAGAAAAGCUAACUUCUCCUUUUCCUUUGCUUAACUCCAGAACUGAGAAGGAUGGACCCCAGCUGUUACCAUAAAACUUCAUUCCAUUCUAGACUAAAGUUGUCUACUAACAUACUGUUUUAGGAUAUGGGUUGAAAAUUUGUGUUUUUUGAUGGGUGGAGUUGUUAGGCUAAUUUGGGGGAAACUCUGGCAUAUGAGAGGUUUAUGACUGCUUUACUUUUUAAAGCCUUCACAUCCAAAUAGAAAAAGAAGAGCACUUGAGUUUCUAACCUAUUUACGGCAGAUGUCGGUGCACUGCUUGCAAUGCUAAUGCAUAUUUCCCGCAAGAGAAUAUUGUAUUUCAAAUCUCCCACUUUAUAGGUUUCGCCCUGAGUUUUAGGACUGCUCCUUAUCCUCUGUUGAAGUUAUUAAUGAGUAAACAAAAAAUGUUGAUAACACAAAGUGUUAUCACCCCUGUCUAUGAGGGGUCAGAUAACCUGCAUUUGGAAGACCCCAGCAGUAUUUCUCUGCAGCAGGAUUGUCUGUAAAUUGAGUCGUGUGCACUAUAGCAUGAAUAAUUGCUCUCAUAAAUCUUUUAUUUUGCUUAAGAAAAGUCAGAACAUCACUUAUGAAUGAAUUUGGACAAUAGAAAUUGAGUGUCUCCUGGGAGAAAAAUUUUGACAGUUGCAGUUAUGGAAUGCCAGAAUUGGCUUUAAUUGAGCCUCUCUGUGUGCAUUUUCUAUUGUGUGAACUGACAGAUGGUUAAAGAAGUAAAUAAUGGCUUUUUUUCCUCAAUCUUGAGUACUGUAAUUUGGUAACCUUAUAUGCACUUUGAUGAGACAUUGAUUUAAGGUUUUGAUAAAAUUAAUUUAUUAUACCAUGCUUGCAUUUGCAAAGCAUAUUACAUUUAUCAUAGGAUACAUUUUGACUUAAUGAUAUAGAAAGCUUAAUAUUGAAAAUGUAGUUUGUUUAAGAAAAUUGCAGAAUAUCUCAGAGGCAAACUAUUGGAAAACCUAGGUGGCUUAGAAAGAUAUUUUUUAGCACAAUGUAAGGUUUUCAACUCUGCUGACAAUGAUAGCAUGAUGCUAUAAAUGUAAUUUAAAUCUGGAGGGUCAUUUUCAUCUUCUUCUUAAGAUUGCCCGUCUGUCUGUCUGCCAGCAUUGUGUGUAUAUAUAUGUACAUAUGUUUACAUACAUUUCUGUAACUUUAAUAUUGCCUCUGCACAAUGCCAAACAUUCAGUUGAUUUCUGUUUGGUCAAGCAUAUGUUCAAAUGUAUCUAGCAUCCCGUCACAUAAACUAGUUGCUGCCGUAAAGUAAACCAAGAAUCUCUUUCAACUGAUUAUAAUCCUGUUCUCUAGACUCAAUUGAAGCUAGUGAAAUGUUUAUAUCUUCUGGCUCAUUGCAACUUUUCAAAAGAUAUAAUAGAAAAAAAUGUGACCAUUGAGUUAAUGAUGCAUUUAUUAUUUCAUUUUACCUGAAAUAGUUGAGAACAAAGGAUGUCGGGAAGUGGUAAGCUAUGGUGAGUUAUUUCAUCAGGUCACAGCUUUUCACAAGUGUCAAGUGAAUACACAUACAUGAAUACAAAUGCCUAAGUACGUGAAUAAGUGAAUGCAAUACAAAUACAAAAUGUGUAGGGUUAUACAGUUAAGUCGUAGUAAUGAGGCAUGGGGGUAGGGAUCUUAGUUGAGCUCCACUGGUCAGAAAUAAGAGUGUAAAGUCAAAGUUUGCCAAAGCUUUAAGAAAAUAAAUAAUUAUAAUGUUUUACUUGUGUAGCAACUUUGGGCCAGCGUAUCUGUGAUUGGAUUUAAGUUUUCCAGGCUUAAAUGUAUCACCGUAGGCUCCAUGACUUACUUUUGAUAUUUAGAGAUAGAACUGUGGAUUCCUACAUUAAAUGGCCCUGUAUGAAUAUUCUUUCUAAAAUCUCCUGAAAAUAGAUUUCUAGUCACUUCUAGUACUGCCAUGAUGUCAGCUGCACUCUUUCCUGACCUCAGCAGGCCUGACUUUAACCCAUUUUCUCAAUGUUUAUAAAUUCUUUUCUGAUGUUUCCAAUGGCUGGUCAUAGCUUGGGAAUGCAGAUAACUGCCCUGCUUAGAAAUGUUUUUAAAAUAAGGAUAAAUGAUCAUGAGGUGUCCUUCUAAGAGUAAACUACAUGAGCUUCAGUGCGUAUUCCACAUGCCAUAGGUAUUUUAGCUUUUCAAGUUUCAUUUUUGCUUGUUUUCUGAGUCAUGAUUAUAUUUCAGAUAAAUGAGGCACUAUGUUUCUAUAAUAUUAUCAACUCACACAUUUGCUUCUUGGAUACGUUGGUAUAACCAAGUUGCCCUUGAUAGUAUUUUAAUAUGUAGCAUUUAUGGUGAGCAUUGAGCAUAUUUAGAAAAAAUGUUUAUUUGGAAUUUGAUUCUGGGACAUAGUAAGAAUAGUUUCAUGUUUUGAAAUGGGCUGAUUUUUAAGAGUGCUAGGAAAUUUGAGAUUCAAUAUCAAGAGUAGACCUUGGGACACUUGAGAAUACAGACAUGAAAUCUCAGCUUUAAUUUAUAAGGCUCUAAUCUGCAAAAGAGUGAGGUUCAAGUUACUGCUGCUCCUGAAGCAAAUUGCUUUCUCUUGAGAGUGCCAUUCAAGUGUUUCCAAUAGAAAGAACCUGUGCUCUUUCUUAGAUAGAGGAUUCUUUAGCAGUAGAGAGGCAGAAGAGGUGUUUUUGAAAAGGGAAAAUGGCAGAGGAAUAGCAGGUUACAUUGCCAUCCUUAUAAGGGCAAUACUGGUUUGUUGUUCCAAAGAUAAAAGGCAGUAACUGGGUUAUUCACAGAUGGCUGUUCAUUUACCAUUUUUACGUAAUAAAAAUUACGUGUAUUAUGGAAUUUUUGUCUCAAAUCAUUAUGGAAGAAUACAAGAAGUCUUGGGACUGCGUCCUGGCUCUGGAUCAAAAUUAGGCACAUAUUCAAUUACUGGAUGAAUUAUAUCUAAUAGUUUUAAUUUGUUUAUUUAAAAGUUCAUCAGAACCUUAGUUAUUUAGGCCUUCUGUAGGCUUCUUUAUGAGACAGGACAUAUCUAAGGGAAAAAGAGUAGAUUUGGUAAUUUUUCAAAAACUAUAUUUCAUUUAUUUCAUCUCUCUCUCCACACACACACCCCAUUUGGUGUUCUUGUAUGUAUAUUUCAGAACUUUAAGUGCAUUACAUUUAAAGAUAGUGAAUGACUUCUUUUUAUACCUCCUUCCCCUUCAUUUCAGCCAUAUGAAGGAAAGUGAAUCCUUUAAACAUUUUAAAAUCUGGCAAACAAAAUAUUUAUAGCACCAGUUUUGCCUGCUGGUGUGGUUGAGGGGUAGAAUGUUUAGAUUAACUUUGGAAGAUCAGGCAUUUGACAGUGGUCUCUGAUACUCCCUGAGUGAGUUAGCUUUUCUAGUGAGAUCUAGUCAGAUAUAGUCCUCAUUGCAUUAAACUCAGAAUUUUGCCUUCUAAUCUUGAUUAUAAAGAAAAGUGAAAAGUCUUCUCAUCUUUCUCCUAAUUAUUGAGGGACUUUUUGGCUUUUAGGAAAUCCCUGAUCUGGGCUGUAUGUAGCUAUAACUUUCUAAGUGCCCCUAAUUGCUGGUUCUUAAAAAAUGUUAAAAUGCAUGAAUUGCUUUUGGUGGCAUGGUGUGUGUUUCCUUAUCAGUAGGAAAGACAAAACCCAACUGGUAGUGAAUAUGCACAUGCCUAUUUAUGUAUAUGCAUUUAUUGAUGUAUAUAGUUAUAGUUAUUUAUUCAGUUGAGAAUAUAUGUAUAUAAAUGCUAAAGAAUAGAAAGACAUAAGGACAAUGUAGUUGCAUUUAGUUUAGAACUUCAUAGAAUCAUAGAACUUAAAGUCAUAAAGUAUACUCUACGAUUAGAGCUGUGACGUACUCAACCCUCCCAUGUUCUGAAUGGAACAGUUGACUUCCAAAGAAGGUUAGUGAAUUGUCCAAGGCCAGAUGACAGUUAGUAGAGGACUAGAAACUAUCAAGCUGACUCCCAGGGUACGGAGUCAGUUUUAUAAAGAAGACAUUUAUUCUAGACGUAGAGGCCACUUGAAGUAGAGGUAAUGGUAAUGAUAAAGACCCUAAAUGUAAUAAUAAACCUGUUUUUCUCAAUUGUUGUUGGAAAUCCCAGAUAACUAGAGGCGUGCAGUGACAAGAAUGUGAGGCAAGAUGAGUAUCACUAGCCUCCGGCUUAGAAAAGUACCAAAGAAGACCUGGUGAUCUAUUAGGUGAGCUCAGAUCUAUUGCCUGGAAACCUCUGAUUCAGCCAGAUGGGACACACAGUUUACAGCUGGAUGGACAACUACCAAAAUGCAUUUUGAAUGGAAGGAGUAUCCCUAUUCCUAACCUGGAAGUCCAGCAACUUUAGUAUCUUUUCUGCUGCCACUACAUCCACUCACAGCUUUUUGAUGAUGUCUAGCAAAUCUCACUAACCUUGCCUUACCCCCAACCAUGAACCUCAUAUGGGAAAUCUUUGUAACCAUAGCUUCAUUCUCCUGAUCAAACAUCACCACAUGCUUAUAGGACUUAACAUACUAAUUACAGCCCUUUACUCCCUAUGCAUAUUAGUCACAAUACAACGAGGAACAUUCACGUACUACAUUAACGGUAUUAAACCUUCGUUUACAUGAGAAAAUACAUUAAUACUUAUGUAUCUUGCACCUAUCUUCCUUCCACACAGACUCUCCUCACCACAAGGCCAUAUUCUUUCCAGAUAAACAUUCUUGAGAAGAUGGUCUGACUAAGACUAAGAUCUGGUCCUUACGUAGCCACUUGCAUUCACAGCCAAAGUACUGUGUGUCUAGGAAAGUGUUGGUUUCUGGAAUGCAAGAAACAGAAGGGAAAGAGACCAGGAGCAAAGGGAUGGGCCAGAUGGCAACACCAACUGCUCUCGAGGAGUUGUGUUUUUAAUAACUCAGCUUACUGCAAACAAAACUAAUUAAGCCAGUUAUUCUGAUUUAUGCUACUAUAGGCAGAAGUAAAGUACACUUACAUUCCCCUUUUGAUGGCAUUUAAAAGGUCAAAAUACCUGAGUUGCAGAUUUUUGUUCAUAGCAGCCUGGUCUGUUGAACCGCUCUUGAGAAUUCAAAUUAACCAAGCUCAUUAAUUCAGCAUCUCUUCUGUUUCCCUAGACAGCAAGUACCAAUUCGCCCAUCCACCCAAACAAAAUAAUAAGACCCUGAAAGGCAAGUCAUUAGUCGUAUCUGCAGAUGAUGGAUUAGAUGUGAUUUAACAGGAAAGUGAGGUAAGAGUCACUUCCUUAUAGUAAGGAAAAGAGAGUGAAGAUAACAGACAAAGGCAAUUGAGAGACAUCAGUUUUUGAGGGGGAUGCUGUGAAGAAUUUAAAAGAAUCUGUUCGGCUGUGCAUGUUGUAAAUGGUCUAUGUUGAUUGGCAGGGCAGUCCUCUUCACUGUUACAAAAGCUGACCAGAAUUACUCUGGUUAUGGAGUCUUGGGAGAAAGUGUCUGAAUUUAGAUGCUUAUUUUACAUAUGAGGACACUUAUGAAGAGAGUACAUUUAUAAUUAUGAUCAAUUUGAGGUCUAGGAAUAAACAUUAUCCAGGUGGUUUGCCAUGAAUAGCUCCCCUAGUAUACUGACUUUCAUGAGAAACAGUUUGGAAUCAAGCUUUUCAAAAUCUGUGGAAGAACAGGCUUGAAAAUUGUGUGUGUGUGUGUGUGUGUGUGUGUGUGUGUGUAUCUCUUUAGUACUUAAAUGGAGAUAAAGUCUUCAGUCCCUUGCUCUCAAACUAUGUACCAUGUGGUUUUCAUCUUUAAUUUCUUUGGCUUUUUUCCCCUUGCAGUCUCAAAAUUGCCCACUGUGGGGUUUAUUGGUCUAGCACAUAAAUCUGUCUUCAAUGGAACCAUUUUUGUUAGAGUCUAUACAGCCAGGUAUACAGCAGACAUUCAUUUGAAAAAGAGAGCUAAGCUGGUUUGAUUAUUUCUAUUAGCAAAGCAUAUGUAGUUAUUUUUACAUUUUGAGCAUCCCUGUGAACUUUCACCCAUAUGUUAAGGAAAUAUGUGUUACCUAGAAUUGGCAUAUGGCAUCUAAACUUUAUUUACAGCUUUACAGCAAUGAAAAACAAUUUUAUAAACCUUCUUUAGAUAAAUUCUAUUUUAAUUAUGAAUAAAAAUGACAUUUAUUUAAAAUAUGUUUAAAACACUUUAAAAUAAUUGACUUAAAUUCCCAUGGAGUUUAAAAAGAAUGAUGUAAUACACCAACUACCUGAAGGGCUUAAUGAUGGCACACUUACCCAGCUGGAGUUU